rnacentral:rRNA from 1 species
CCUACGGGUGGCAGCAGUGGGGGAUAUUGCACAAUGGGGGGAACCCUGAUGCAGCGACGCCGCGUGAGCGAAGAAGUACCUCGGUAUGUAAAGCUCUAUCAGCAGGGAAGAAAAUGACGGUACCUGACUAAGAAGCCCCGGCUAAAUACGUGCCAGCAGCCGCGGUAAUACGUAUGGGGCAAGCGUUAUCCGGAUGUACUGGGUGUAACGGGAGCGCAGCCGGCCUGCCAAGUAUGGGUUGAAAACCCGAGGCCCAACCCAGGGCCUGAAGUGGAAACUGGCGGGCUGGAGGGUCGGAGUGGCAGGGGGAAUUCCUAGUGUAGCGGUGAAAUGCGUAGAUAUUAGGAGGAACACCGGUGGCGAAGGCGACCUGCUGGACGAUGACUGACGCUGAGGCUCGAAAGCGUGGGGAGCAAACAGGAUUAGAUACCCGUGUAGUC